rnacentral:rRNA from 1 species
GACGAACCGUGCGAACGUUGUUCGGAAUCACUGGGUUUAAAGGGCGCGUAGGCGGGCUGUCAAGUCGGUGGUGAAAUCUUUCAGCUUAACUGGAAAAUGGCCUUCGAUACUGGCGGUCUGGAGGAAGGUAGGGGCAUGCGGAACUUCCGGUGGAGCGGUGAAAUGCGUAGAGAUCGGAAGAACACCAACGGCGAAAGCACUCUGCUGGGCCGACACUGACACUGAGAGACGAAAGCUAGGGGAGCGAAUGGGAUAGAU